UCCAUGUCAGGCUUUGUUCUCUAGCGGAUUGUCCUUCUUACUCUUCCUGGAACGAAGGCCUGCAUCGAGCCAUUUGCACUGAUGCUUCCAAAGAGGAGGGUCCCAAAGCUGUAAGAGAGAAAACUACUUGAGCAGAGGCCCCAGCUGGGCUGGUGGCCCCGAGGCUGACUGCGGUGUGUGCUCCUCCCUCAGGAGGCCAUUGCCUUGCUUGACAUCUCCUGGGCAAGUCUCCACAGAACCUCUUAUCAAACUCCAAAGUCAUCUUCUUCCACACGUUGUGCUAUUAGAGAUUAGAGGAGUUAAUGUAGGUGCAGCUUCCUCACAGAAAAUGCAAGACACACAAGGGCUGCUUUCAGCAUUCUGCUUGAUCGUGCACAGCUAGACGCAGAGCACUCAGGAGCACACAGGAGGAUCCAAGCAAACGGUGAAGCUGUGUAGGUUGCUGGAUGCCUCCGUGGCUGUCUCAUAUUUUUCAACUAGUCCAUGCUUCCUUCAGAGGUUGUGGCUUCUGGUGCUUGGUAUGUGGAUGUCUCCCAUUCUGAAUCCAAUUCGAUUCUAGGAAUUUAUCCUAAGGAACA